AUAUCAAUAAGCGGAGGAGAAGAAAUUAACUAAGAUUGCCUUAGUAACGGCGAGUGAAGCGGCAAGAGCCCAAAAUGGAAAUCUUGUACCUUCGGUACACGAAUUGUAAUCUAUAGGAUGUGUACUCACCGGACGGUGGCGCAGAAGUGUUCUCGAAUGGACCGCCAGAGAGGGUGAUAGCCCCGUAUGUGGUGCUACUGUCUAACGAGUAUGUGUCCCAAGAGUCGGGUUGUUUUGUAUUGCAGCCCUAAGUGGGAGAUAAACUUCUUCUAAGGCUAAAUAUAUAUGGGAGACCGAUAGCGCACAAGUA
rnacentral:rRNA from 1 species